rnacentral:rRNA from 1 species
CCUACGGGCGGCAGCAGUGAGGAAUAUUGGUCAAUGGACGAGAGUCUGAACCAGCCAAGUAGCGUGAAGGAUGACUGCCCUAUGGUUUGUAAACUUCUUUUAUAAAGGGAUAAAACGAGGUACGUGUGCCUUUUUGCAUGUACUUUAUGAAUAAGGAUCGGAUAACUCCGUGCCAGCAGCCGGGGUAAGACGGAGGGUCCGAGCGUUAACCGGAUUUAUUGGGUUUAAAGGGAGCGUAGUCGGGUUGUUAAGUCAGUUGUGAAAGUUUGCGGCUCAACCGUAGAAUUGCAAUUGAUACUGGCAGGCUUGAGUACAGUUGAGGUAGGCGGAAUUCGUGGUGUAGCGGUGAAAUGCGUAGAUAUGACGAAGAACCCCGAUUGCGAAGGCAGUUUACUAAACUGUGACUGACAUUGAUGCUCGAAAGUGUGGGUAGCAAACAGGAUUAGAUACCCCAGUAGUC